rnacentral:rRNA from 1 species
GAGUUUGAUCUUGGCUCAGGAUGAACGCUGGCGGCGUGCCUAAUACAUGCAAGUCGAACGAACAGAUAAGGAGCUUGCUCCUUUGACGUUAGCGGCGGACGGGUGAGUAACACGUGGGUAACCUACCUAUAAGACUGGGAAUAACUCCGGGAAACCGGGGCUAAUGCCGGAUAACAUGUUGAACCGCAUGGUUCUACAGUGAAAGACGGUCUUGCUGUCACUUAUAGAUGGACCCGCGCCGUAUUAGCUAGUUGGUGGGGUAACGGCCUACCAAGGCGACGAUACGUAGCCGACCUGAGAGGGUGAUCGGCCACACUGGAACUGAGACACGGUCCAGACUCCUACGGGAGGCAGCAGUAGGGAAUCUUCCGCAAUGGGCGAAAGCCUGACGGAGCAACGCCGCGUGAGUGAUGAAGGUCUUCGGAUCGUAAAGCUCUGUUGUUAGGGAAGAACAAAUGUGUAAGUAACUGUGCAUAUCUUGACGGUACCUAACCAGAAAGCCACGGCUAACUACGUGCCAGCCGCCGCCGUAAG